AUUGAACGCUGGCGGCAGGCCUAACACAUGCAAGUCGAACGAGUGGCGGACGGGUGAGUAAUGUCUGGGAAACUGCCCGAUGGAGGGGGAUAACUACUGGAAACGGUAGCUAAUACCGCAUACCAUCGGAUGUGCCCAGAGGGGCUUAGCUAGUAGGUGGGGUAACGGCUCACCUGGGCGACGAUCCCUAGCUGGUCCGAGAGGAUGAGCAGCCACACUGGAACUGUGACACGGUCCAGACGCCUAGGGUAGUCAGCAGUGGGGAAGAGUGCACAAUUGGCGCAAGGCUGAAGGAGCGAUGCCGCGUGGAGGAGGAGGGCCUUCGGGUUGUAAGGUAGUUUCAGCGAGGAGGCGUUACUCGCAGAAGAAGCACCGGCUAACUCCGUGCCAGCAGCCGCGGUAAUAC
rnacentral:rRNA from 1 species